AGAGAGAGAGAGGGUGAGAAACAGAGAGAGAGGGAGGGUGAGAAACAGAGAGAGAGAGAGGGUGAGAAACAGAGAGAGAGAGAGGGUGAGAAACAGAGCGAGAGAGAGAGGGUGAGAAACAGAGAGAGAGAGAGAGGGUGAGAAACAGAGAGAGAGAGAGAGGGUGAGAAACAGAGAGAGAGGGAGGGUGAGAAACAGAGAGAGAGAGGGAGAAACAGAGAGAGAGAGAGGGAGAAACAGAGAGAAAGAGAGAGGGAGAAACAGAGAGAGAGGGAGAGUGAGAAACAGAGAGAGAGAGGGAGAGUGAGAAACAGAGAGAGAGAGGGUGAGAAACAGAGAGAGAGAGGGAGAGAGAGAGGGAGAGAGAAACAGAGAGAGAGAGGGAGAAACAGAGAGAGAGAGAGGGAGAAACAGAGAGAGAGAGAGAGGGAGAAACAGAGAGAGAGAGGGAGAGUGAGAAACAGAGAGAGAGAGAGAGAGGGAGAAACAGAGAGAGAGAGAGUGAGAAACAGAGAGAGAGAGGGAGAAACAGAGAGAGAGAGAGGGAGAAACAGAGAGAGAGAGAGGGUGAGAAACAGAGAGAGAGAGAGGGUGAGAAACAGAGAGAGAGAGAGG
ensembl:lncRNA